CCUACGGGUGGCAGCAGUGAGGAAUAUUGGUCAAUGGGCGCGAGCCUGAACCAGCCAAGCCGCGUGAGGGAAGACGGCCCUAUGGAUUGUAAACCUCUUUUGUCGGGGAGCAAAAGACGCCACGCGUGCCGUUCCGAGAGUACCCGAAGAAAAAGCAUCGGCUAACUCCGUGCCAGCAGCCGCGGUAAUACGGAGGAUGCGAGCGUUAUCCGGAUUUAUUGGGUUUAAAGGGUGCGCAGGCGGAAGAUCAAGUCAGCGGUAAAAUUGAGGGGCUCAACCUCUUCGAGCCGUUGAAACUGGUUGUCUUGAGUGAGUGAGAAGUACGCGGAAUGCGUGGUGUAGCGGUGAAAUGCAUAGAUAUCACGCAGAACUCCGAUUGCGAAGGCAGCAUACCGGCGCUCAACUGACGCUGAGGCACGAAAGCGUGGGGAUCGAACAGGAUUAGAUACCCCAGUAGUC
rnacentral:rRNA from 1 species